AGAGAGAGAGAGCGAGAAAUUAAAAAAAAAAAAAUCGCAGAUGGAAGAAGUGUGUAGCGUUUUGUUACUUCUUUUCUUCUUUCAAGGACUUGACUAACAUUGCGUGCUCCUCCUCUGUCAGUUUCCCGCCCUUAGUGAAUUCUUCCAAUUUUUUUAAAA
rnacentral:ribozyme from 15 species